rnacentral:rRNA from 1 species
UAUGGAGGGUGCAAGCGUUAUCCGGAUUCACUGGGUUUAAAGGGUGCGUAGGUGGGUUGGUAAGUCAGUGGUGAAAUCUCCAGGCUUAACUUGGAAACUGCCAUUGAUACUAUCAAUCUUGAAUGCCGUGGAGGUCAGCGGAAUAUGUCAUGUAGCGGUGAAAUGCUUAGAUAUGACAUAGAACACCAAUUGCGAAGGCAGCUGGCUACACGAAUAUUGACACUGAUGCACGAAAGCGUGGGGAUCAAACAGG